rnacentral:tRNA from 1 species
AAGACCCUAGUAAAACAUUACCUUGCCUUGUCAAGGCAAAAUUGCGGGUUAAACCCCCGCGAGUCUUG